rnacentral:rRNA from 2 species
UACGGGCCCAGGCAGGCCCGCGGUAAUACGUAGGUGGCAAGCGUUAUCCGGAAAUAAUUGGGCGUAAAGCGCGCGCAGGGCGGGUUUCUUAAAGUCUGAUGUGAAAGCCCACGGCUCAACCGUGGGAGGGUCAUUGGAAACUGGGGAACUUGAGUGCAGAAGAGAAAAGCGGAAUUCCACGUGUAGCGGUGAAAUGCGUAGAGAUGUGGAGGAACACCAGUGGCGAAAGGCGGCUUUUUUGGUCUGUAACUGACGCUGAGGCGCGAAAGCGUGGGGAGCAAACAGGGAUUAGAUACCCUUGGUAGUCCACGCCGUAAACGAUGAGUGCUAAGUGUUAGAGGGUUUCCGCCCUUUAGUGCUGCAGCUAACGCAUUAAGCACUCCGCCUGGGGAGUACGGUCGCAAGACUGAAACUCAAAGGAAUUGACGGGGGCCCGCACAAGCGGUGGAGCAUGUGGUUUAAUUCGAAGCAACGCGAAGAACCUUACCAGGUCUUGACAUCCUCUGACAACUCUAGAGAUAGAGCGUUCCCCUUCGGGGGACAGAGUGACAGGUGGUGCAUGGUUGUCGUCAGCUCGUGUCGUGAGAUGUUGGGUUAAGUCCCGCAACGAGCGCAACCCUUGAUCUUAGUUGCCAGCAUUUAGUUGGGCACUCUAAGGUGACUGCCGGUGACAAACCGGAGGAAGGUGGGGAUGACGUCAAAUCAUCAUGCCCCUUAUGACCUGGGCUACACACGUGCUACAAUGGAUGGUACAAAGGGCUGCAAGACCGCGAGGUCAAGCCAAUCCCAUAAAACCAUUCUCAGUUCGGAUUGUAGGCUGCAACUCGCCUACAUGAAGCUGGAAUCGCUAGUAAUCGCGGAUCAGCAUGCCGCGGUGAAUACGUUCCCGGGCCUUGUACACACCGCCCGUCACAACGCGAGAGUUUGUAACACCCGAAGUUCGGUGGAGUAACCGUAAGGAGCAAGCCGCC